UACAGAGGGUGCAAGCGUUAAUCGGAAUUACUGGGCGUAAAGCGUGCGUAGGCGGUUUCGUAAGUCGGAUGUGAAAGCCCCGGGCUCAACCUGGGAAUGGCACUGGAUACUGGCAAGCUAGAGUGUGGCAGAGGGUAGUGGAAUUCCUGGUGUAGCAGUGAAAUGCGUAGAGAUCAGGAGGAACAUCCGUGGCGAAGGCGACUGCCUGGGCCAACACUGACACUGAGGCACGAAAGCGUGGGGAGCAAAC
rnacentral:rRNA from 1 species